GUGCCAGCAGCCGCGGUAAAACGUAGGAGACAAGCGUUAUCCGGAGUUACUGGGCGUAAAGGGCGUGUAGGCGGCGGAAUAAGUCUGUUGUGAAAGCUCCUGGCUUAACCGGGAGAGGCCAAUGGAGACUGUUUCGCUCGAGGCCGGUAGAGGUGGGUGGAAUUCCGGGUGUAGUGGUGAAAUGCGUAGAGAUCCGGAGGAACACCAGAGGCGAAGGCGGCCCACUAGGCCGGACCUGACGCUGAAACGCGACAGCAUGGGGAGCAAACGGGAUUAGAUACCCGCGUAGUCC
rnacentral:rRNA from 1 species